GAUUGCCUGAGGAUAACCAGUCUAAUAGCAAUACAGCCAUUGUAAUCCAGGUGUAUUCGAAUUUCGAAAGUCCUUUUCUCAGUCACUUGGUGGCUAGGUUUGCCACAAUAACGCUAAGCGCCUGCGACGGGGUCAGCAACUCACUGUUUACCUAAGCUUUGUGACCGUGCAGUAUUGACCGGAAGACAGGGGAAGAACCCUGCGGCUUUCCACGGUAGGAAGAACUUUGAUCCAGGAACAGGCAGACACGUUGAAGACAGGUAAGUUCUAGACGAGGAAAGAAAGCAAGAUGGCGGUCUGCAGCAGCCGGAAAUCCAGGUAUGCAAAUUGCCAGACCAUCAAUGGUAAUGUGGAGGGGUCUGGCAGUCUUAAAUA